rnacentral:rRNA from 1 species
GACGAACGCUGGCGGCGUGCCUAAUACAUGCAAGUAGAACGCUGAAGGAGGAGCUUGCUUCUCCGGAUGAGUUGCGAACGGGUGAGUAACGCGUAGGUAACCUGCCUGGUAGCGGGGGAUAACUAUUGGAAACGAUAGCUAAUACCGCAUAAGAGUAGAUGUCGCAUGACAUUUGCUUAAAAGGUGCAACUGCACCACUACCAGAUGGACCUGCGUUGUAUUAGCUAGUUGGUGAGGUAACGGCUCACCAAGGCAACGAUACAUAGCCGACCUGAGAGGGUGAUCGGCCACACUGGGACUGAGACACGGCCCAGACUCCUACGGGAGGCAGCAGUAGGGAAUCUUCGGCAAAGGACGGAAGUCUGACCGAGCAACGCCGCGUGAGUGAAGAAGGUUUUCGGAUCGUAAAGCUCUGUUGUAAGAGAAGAACGAGUGUGAGAGUGGAAAGUUCACACUGUGACGGUAUCUUACCAGAAAGGGACGGCUAACUACGU